rnacentral:rRNA from 1 species
AACGUAGGGGGCUAGCGUUGUUCGGAAUUACUGGGCGUAAAGCGCGUGUAGGCGGCUUGGUAAGUCGGAAGUGAAAGCCCCAGGCUCAACUUGGGAAUUGCUUUCGAAACUGCCUAGCUUGAGUGCGGGAGGGGAGAGCGGAAUUCCAGGUGUAGCGGUGAAAUGCGUAGAUAUCUGGAGGAACACCGGUGGCGAAGGCGGCUCUCUGGACCGUAACUGACGCUGAGACGCGAAAGCGUGGGGAGCAAAC